rnacentral:rRNA from 1 species
GUAACAAGGUCUCCGUAGGUGAACCUGCGGAGGGAUCAUUACACAAAUAUGAAGGCGGGCUGGAAUCUCUCGGGGUUACAGCCUUGCUGAAUUAUUCACCCUUGUCUUUUGCGUACUUCUUGUUUCCUUGGUGGGUUCGCCCACCACUAGGACAAACAUAAACCUUUUGUAAUUGCAAUCAGCGUCAGUAACAAAUUAAUAAUUACAACUUUCAACAACGGAUCUCUUGGUUCUGGCAUCGAUGAAGAACGCAGCGAAAUGCGAUAAGUAGUGUGAAUUGCAGAAUUCAGUGAAUCAUCGAAUCUUUGAACGCACAUUGCGCCCUUUGGUAUUCCAAAGGGCAUGCCUGUUCGAGCGUCAUUUGUACCCUCAAGCUUUGCUUGGUGUUGGGCGUCUUGUCUCUAGCUUUGCUGGAGACUCGCCUUAAAGUAAUUGGCAGCCGGCCUACUGGUUUCGGAGCGCAGCACAAGUCGCACUCUCUAUCAGCAAAGGUCUAGCAUCCAUUAAGCCUUUUUUCAACUUUUGACCUCGGAUCAGGUAGGGAUACCCGCUGAACUUAAGCAUAUC